CAGUAGCCACGGUAAUACGAAGGGGGCUAGCGUUGUUCGGAAUUACUGGGCGUAAAGCGCACGUAGGCGGAUAUUUAAGUCAGGGGUGAAAUCCCGCAGCUCAACUGCGGAACUGCCUUUGAUACUGGGUAUCUUGAGUAUGGAAGAGGUUAGUGGAAUUGCGAGUGUAGAGGUGGAAUUCGUAGAUAUUCGCAGGAACACCAGUGGCGAAGGCGGCUAACUGGUCCAUAACUGACGCUGAGGUGCGAAAGCGUGGGGAGCAAACAGGAUUAGAUACCCCCGUAGUCCCUGUCUCUUAUAC
rnacentral:rRNA from 1 species